ensembl:lncRNA
CAAGUCUAUAAAUGCUUUCGGCCAUACCACCUUAGGCACGUCCGAUCUCGUCUGAUCUCGGAAGCUAAGCAGGGUCGGGCCUGGUUAGUACUUGGAUGGGUGACCGCCUGGGAAUACCAGGUUGCUGUAAGUAGUGACGGGAAAUUGUAAAAAAAUUGGAAACAUUAAAAAGAUAAAAAAAAAAAAAAAAGCACGACCGAUCUCGUCUGAUCUCGGAAGCUAAGCAGGGGCGGGCCUGGUUAGUACUUGGAUGGGAGACCUCCUCGGAAGGCCAGGUUGCUGUAAGUAGA